GCUGAACCCUAAAAAGUUCUAAAAGCACAAAGGUUUGGUCCUAGCCCCCCUCUAACUUAUCUAUUGGCUUACACAUGCAAGUCUCCGCGCCCCCCUGAGGAAGCCCUUAUUACCUGCCAAAGGAGAAGGAGCUUGUAUCAGCUUUUCUUUCUGCCCCUGACACCUAGUCCUUAAAACGACCCCCAGGGUUAUCAGUAGUGAUAAACAUUAUUCAUAAGCGACAGCUUGACUUAGUUAAAGAGAAGAUUGUUGGCCAACAUGGUGGCAGCCGCCGCAAUUUCACCCUCCCCAACUAAAAUUGAUAGUCAUCGGCGUUAAGCGUGAUUUUUGCUAACCUUAAAUUAGAGUAAAGCUCCUUACAAAGCCGUGAAAAGCUUGGACUGAGUGUCACUACGAACGAAAGUCACUCUAAAUUAUACUUGAACACACGACAUCUAGAAAAACAAACUGGGACUUGAGACCCCACUUUGCCUAGCACGAAAUAUCAACUCAUACCUUUCAACGCCUGGAUACUUCGGGCUGGGUCUUAAACCCAAAGGACUUGACGGUGUCCCAUCAG
rnacentral:rRNA from 1 species